GAACGAGAAAGUGGAGCAAUCCAUGAGUAAAGUGGCGUCCGGGUGAGUAACACGUGACUAACCUACCUUUGAGUGGGGGAUAACAUCGGGAAACCGAUGCUAAUACCGCAUAACAUCGCAAGAUCAAAGCAGCAAUGCGCUUAAAGAGGGGGUCGCGGCUGAUUAGCUAGUUGGCGGGGUAACGGCCCACCAAGGCGAAGAUCGGUAUCCGGCCUGAGAGGGCGCACGGACACACUGGAACUGAAACACGGUCCAGACUCCUACGGGAGGCAGCAGUGGGGAAUUUUGCGCAAUGGGGGAAACCCUGACGCAGCAACGCCGCGUGGAGGAUGAUGUCCCUUGGGACGUAAACUCCUUUCGACCAAGACGAUAAUGACGGUACUGGUGGAAGAAGCACCGGCUAACUCUGUGCCAGCAGCCGCGGUAAUACAGAGGGUGCAUGCGUUGUUCGGAAUUAUUGGGCGUAAAGGGCGCGUAGGCGGCGCGACAAGU
rnacentral:rRNA from 1 species